rnacentral:tRNA from 1 species
ACUAAGUUGGCAGACUAGUGCAAUUGAUUUAGAUUCUUUAAAUGAACUUUAGUUCACUUAGUA